AACACGUUGGGCUAACCUGCCCAUAAGACUGGGUAUAACUCCGGGAAACCGGGGCUAAUACCGGAUAACAUUUUGAACCGCAUGGUUCGAAAUUGAAAGGCGGCUUCGGCUGUCACUUAUGGAUGGACCCGCGUCGCAUUAGCUAGUUGGUGAGGUAACGGCUCACCAAGGCAACGAUGCGUAGCCGACCUGAGAGGGUGAUCGGCCACACUGGGACUGAGACACGGCCCAGACUCCUACGGGAGGCAGCAGUAGGGAAUCUUCCGCAAUGGACGAAAGUCUGACGGAGCAACGCCGCGUGAGUGAUGAAGGCUUUCGGGUCGUAAAACUCUGUUGUUAGGGAAGAACAAGUGCUAGUUGAAUAAGCUGGCACCUUGACGGUACCUAACCAGAAAGCCACGGCUAACUACGUGCCAGCAGCCGCGGUAAUACGUAGGUGGCAAGCGUUAUCCGGAAUUAUUGGGCGUAAAGCGCGCGCAGGUGGUUUCUUAAGUCUGAUGUGAAAGCCCACGGCUCAACCGUGGAGGGUCAUUGGAAACUGGGAGACUUGAGUGCAGAAGAGGAAAGUGGAAUUCCAUGUGUAGCGGUGAAAUGCGUAG
rnacentral:rRNA from 1 species